AUCUCGGAGAAACGCGAGCCGCCGUACGAUGUCGGACGGAACGGUUGCGGUGGGAAACAGGCCGCGAGAGAUGACCAGGCGGCGGUGUUCGUCCU
rnacentral:sRNA from 1 species